rnacentral:rRNA from 1 species
UUAAGAUACUAAGAGCAUACGGUGGAUGCCUUGGCGAUAUCUGCCGACGAAGGACGUGACAAGCUGCGAAAAGCUGCGGAGAGAUGCAAAUAAUCGGCGACCCGCAGACAUCCGAAUGGAGCAAUCCGGCUGUGAUGAUGCACAGCCAUCCAUGCCCAAGAGCAUGAGAAGGGAACCGGGCGAACUGAAACAUCUAAGUAACCCGAGGAAAAGAAAUCAAACGAGAUACCCCAAGUAGCGGCGAGCGAACAGGGAAGAAGCCCAAACCGGUGAAGGAAACUUUACCGGGGUUGAGGACCAUCAGACCCGCGAAGAACCUUAGCCGAAACUGUUGGGAAACAGUGCCGAAGACAGUGAAAGCCUGGUAGGCGAAAAAGAGAAACGCGGAGAUGGCACCAGAGUACCGCGGGACACGAGAAAUCCCGUGGGAAGCCGGGGGGACCACCCUCCAAGGCAAAACACAGAUAUCGACCGAUAGCGCAUAGUACCAUGAGGGAAAGGUGAAAAGCACCCCGGGAGGGGAAUGAAAGAGAACCUGAAACCGUAUGUUUACAAGCAGUCGGAGACCGCUUAAUAAUAAGGUCGACGGCGUGCCUAUUGAAGAAUGAACCGGCGAGUUACGAAGCCUGGCAAGGUUAAGCAGGAAAUGCGGAGCCGAAGCGAAAGCGAGUCUUAAGAGGGCGCAAGUCAGGAAGCGUAGACCCGAAACCACAGUGAUCUACCCAUGUCCAGGUUGAAACACAGGUAAAAAUGUGUGGAGGACCGAACCUAUAUCCGUUGAAAAGGGUUAGGAUGAGGUGUGGGUAGGGGUGAAAUUCCAAUCGAACGUGGAGAUAGCUGGUUCUCCCCGAAAUAGCUUUAGGGCUAGCCUCAGGGAAAAGAUUGCAGGCGGUAGAGCACUGAUCAGGAGAGGGACCUACCCGGUUACCAAACCCAGUCAAACUCCGAAUGGCUGCAAUCAUACCUGGGAGUCAGACUGCGACUAAUAAGGGCCGCAGUCAAAAGGGAAACAGCCCAGACCAUCAGCUAAGGUCCCCAAUGCCGUGCUAAGUGGCGAAGGAUGUGGCAUUUCAUAAACAACCAGGAUGUUGGCUCAGAAGCAGCCACCAUUUAAAGAGUGCGUAAUAGCUCACUGGUCGAGAGACGCUGCGCCGAAAAUGUCCGGGGCUCAAGCACGGAACCGAAGCUAUGGCAUGAUAGCAAUAUCAUGGGUAGGGGAGCGUUCUUAUAAGGAAGAAGCAUGACCGGAAGGACAUGUGGACGAAUAAGAAGUGAGAAUGCCGGUAUGAGUAUCGAAAAGAAAGGUGAGAAUCCUUUCCACCGAAAGCCCGAGGGUUCCUGAGCAACGAUCGUCGACUCAGGGUAAGUCGGGACCUAAGCCGAGGCGAGAAGCGUAGGCGAUGGACAACAGGUUGAAAUUCCUGUACCGGAUCAAGUCGAUCGAGCGAAGGAGCGACGCAGGAGGGCACAUGAUCGCGCGGCUGGAAGAGCGCGUCCAAGUGCGUAUGUUGCAGCAGAGGAAAACCCCUGCGGCUGAAAGCAGAGACAUGAUGGGGAGUUAAAGGAAACUUUGACGAACUCAUGAAUCCCACACUGCCAAGAAAAACUUCUAGCGAGACAAGAUCCGCCCGUACCGUAAACCGACACAGGUAGGCGGGGAGAGAAUCCUAAGGUGCGCGGGAAAACCCUCGUUAAGGAACUCGGCAAAUUGCAUCCGUAACCUAGGGAGAAGGAUGGCCCCCGGUCAGUGAAGAGCAGAAACGCUCAGAGCUAAAAGGGGCGGCAGAAAAGAGGCCCAAGCAACUGUUUACCAAAAACACAGGUGCCUGCGAAAGCGAAAGCUGAAGUAUAGGUGCUGACGCCUGCCCGGUGCCGGAAGGUUAAGGAGAGAAGUUAGCGAAAGCGAAGCAUCGAACUGAAGCCCCGGUGAACGGCGGCCGUAACUAUAACGGUCCUAAGGUAGCGAAAUUCCUUGUCGGGUAAGUUCCGACCCGCACGAA